rnacentral:rRNA from 1 species
CCCUUAGAUGUCCUGGGCCGCACGCGCGCUACACUGAUGCAUUCAACGAGUUUCUUCCUGGUCCGAGAGGAAUGGGUAACCUUUUGAAAGUGCAUCGUGAUAGGGAUAGACUAUUGCAAUUAUUGGUCUUCAACGAGGAAUUCCUAGUAGACGUAGUUCAUCAGACUGCAUCGAUUACGUCCCUGCCCUUUGUACACACCGCCCGUCGCUCCUACCGAUUGAAUGCUCAGGUGAGCCAUUCGGACUUUCAUCAUGCUGGUUUCCAGUUUUGAUGAAGGAAAGUCUUGCGAACCUUAUCAUUUAGAGGAAGGAGAGGUCGUAACA